AAGUCCCUUCCUCCACUAGGGGUUAGGGAGUGAUGUGCCAAAAGGCUUCUCAGGACUGGGCCCGUUUACCACUAGGGGAGGUGAGGCCACUUCCCCUUAGGGAGCCUUACGGGUGGUUAAUAAUUCCUUUGUGCACAAACAUCAGUUGGACUCCGCUCAAAGGCAGCAUCCAAAUACACAUUGUUCCUGAGUUACGUUAUGCAAAUAUUAGAUUCUUCUGAUGAGAAUCAGCAAAUGGUUGGCAACUGGCAAGCAGAAGAAAGCUCCUUUCCAAGAGUGCUCCAGGGAGGCAUAAAGCAAAACGACACAGCAUGAAGAUGGGGAGAGCCCAGGAGCACCAAGGAAGCGCCCACCUCCAUCCAGCCAGCCUUUCUUCCCCUCAGGGUGGGCUAUGGGGCAGAAAUCCACGCCAGAGUGAGACUUCCCAGAAGAGCUGCAAAAUGCACCCCAAAACCAGAUCCCCGGUGGAGACGCCAACUGUCAGUCCAGCAUCACUCACCAGCUUCCUGGAGUAGUGCGAUGUCUGAGGUAUGGGCUGGGGGCUGAUAGGAGAGAGCAAGGUUCACCCAGGACCUAGGCACAGCCAGCUGGAGGGAGAUCAUCCAGGCCUGGAUUGUUCUGGAAACCUAAUCAGCACCCCUGGAACUCCCUGCAGGCUGCCUGCCUCCCCCUCCACCAGCAGCAACGCAGCCAGGAUCUCACACACAGGGUAACCCAGCAUGAAAUGACUGACCUGCGUUCUCAGACAGGGGAACCGGAAGCCAUAAGGAAGAACAACCAGACAAUGCGAAAGAAUUUCAGGCUCCUGCAGGAGAUGGGGUCUCCAGGAAGGCAGGGUGGUGUGCCAGAAAAGCAUCAGAUCAGGAAUCAAGAAACCUGGGUUUUAUUCCUGACUUCACUAUGGGCAAGUUAUAUGACUUGGGGUGCCUCCCCGGGGCCUAGAACUGUGCCUGGCACACAUACAAGGUGUUGAAUGAAUCAACGUGAGGGGGCCUAAUAAGUCCUUGUUUUCUAAUGGUGCAUGUGAAGACCCCUUAUGGUGGAGAAGCGGGAAGGGAGGGAAGCAGACUCUCAACACCAAGCAUCCUCUUCCAUUCUGCUCCCUGCCUAUUCACAUCAACUUUACGUAAUCAGACUUCCAAGAAACCCUCAAAUGCAGGGCACGGAGGGGCCCCAGGAGACAGGCUAGCAACACAUCCUGGGGUCACAUGAUACAGCUCUGAAAUGGUCCCUCAUUCCCAACAUGUGAGGCCACCUUUCUCACAGAUGCACAGGCCUCCCUCAUGAGCAAUAAGCCUCACCUGCAGCCCACCAUAUGUCUUCCUAAACUCGAGGUUCACCACUCGAUUCACAUUCACCACAGCCCCUGAAUGAGGCUGCUCCAAAAUCUCCAAAGAUAAAACAGGCAUCUGGAUUUGGAGCCUCUCCAGCAUGAGGCUGGGACUGCCUUCCCUCUCACCAUUGUUCAGGGGACUUCUCCAUCAUCCAGGGGAACUAAGACAGGUGCAUGGAGUCAGAGCUAUGCCUGUGCACACAGAUGCACACCCCACCCGACCACCUCCACCGGGAGGGAGGCUGAUGGCUCCCAGGAGACACCGCAGUAGGAGCCAUCUUCAUUUGCAAGAUUUCACACGUUCCCUAAUUAUUUCAAGAGGACUUGCAGAUGGAGGUAAUGGGCCCCCUUUUAAGAUGACUUGCCACACAUAUAAUGUCAGGGCUCUCGCAUUCAUCAGCGCCAUCCUCCCAGCCCCCGUCCUCCACCUCCAUCACCAAAAACCCAAAUAAUUUCAAAAACAUUUUUAUCCUAAAAUGUUCCCCUCAAUUUAAAAAAAAAAUUAUCUUCAAGAGAAGAGAUUUCUUUCCAUUUCAAUCCCACAACAAGGAGAAUGUCAGCCCAGCUUUUUUUUGACAGACAAAUUAUUGAAUCAAAGAGAAAAUGCCAUUAAGCUCACAGGUUAGCAAGUGUCAGGAAUGGUUUAAAGAGAUAUCCCCAUUUAUCUUCCAAACAUGCACGAAAUGUCACUAAUGUGUGUUUAUCAUGUAUAAUCAGACAAAGAAAAUAUCGAAAUAAAGUACUCCCGCAUACAAUAGAAAUCUCCUUCCAUCCUUCAAGAUAUCAGUGCUAUUCAAAUAGAAUAAUAAUGAUGAAGCCUCUCUCUUGAAAAUGGAAAUCAAGUGAAAUGUAGAUAGAAAUGAAUUUUUUUUGGUAGUUGAUGUACAUUUCUAAAGUGCAUUAACAGGAAAUCCAGAACUUUUUAGGUCAAUUAUAUUGUCAGUAUUGUCAACGCCACUGAAAUGAAUACUGAAGCAGCGCCUGUUCUUGCUGGAAUCAAGCUACAGAAGAAACUCCUAGAUUGGGGACUUACAGAGGAACUAGAGGCACAUUGGAAGCCUGACAUUGUUCAAGCAUGCAUAUAUAUGUAUAUCUAUUUUUUUCAUUCAAAUCAAUCUGGGUACCAGGCAUUUUGACUUACUAUAAACUUCAAUAGACAGGGGAAAAAAAUUCUGCAACUGAUCUAAAACCUGGCUUUAUUUUCCUCCCUUUUCUUCCUCCAUUAUGACAAAGCUUAUUUUUGUAAGCCAGGUGCUGUGACAACAAUAAAUCUCAGCCUCCAAAUUAGUGCUUUGGACAAGAGUUCUCUACUACUAAUUCUGGACUUGCCAGACCCAGGGACAUGAGCCACGCACUGGAAAGAAGGUAGUCCUUGUGCCAAAAUUGUCAGGCCCCUUCCUGGAAGUCUAGAGAGAAUUAGGCAUUUCAACUGAAAACAUUUUCAUCCUUACUGCUUUCUCUCCCAACAGUCCCACCAGCUGUGUGACAUGCUAUUUCCCGGCUUUCUGGGUUGUGAGUUUCCUGAGAGCAGAAGUCAUACCUGUUUUUAGUCUCCAUAGCAAGAGCAACAUGUAGUAUAAUGACUUUCAAAUAGCAUGUGCUCAAGAUGUUGGUGAGUGAGCAAGUGAAUGGAUGGUUGAAAAAGGAGCUCUUCCUCAGAGGUCUCUCCCAGCCCCACAGUUCCCUGGUUCUGUGAUGUUCUAUAGCUUUGGGGAGGGAACAGCCAAGGUCCUAGACGUCCCCAUGCCUGCUCUGCAAUACAUUAUUAACUCAAGAGAGCUUCUGCUCUCCCAAACUAACCAUAUUGAACUCCCAAAUUACACCACAAGUGUUUUGCCAUUCCAAGUACAAUGUAAGGCAAGGGUCCUAAGAAAGUAGAGGACAAUGUCAAGAGAGUAAUCUCUAAUGUCUGCCUGCCUCAUGGUCCCACCACCCGGCUAUGUGGCCUUGGGCCCUGGAUCGUCACCUGAGAAAUGGGACAACAGUAACCCUAACCCCACGAAGACGUGUGCUUUAAUAAGCUAAUAUGUGUAAAGUUCUUACAACAGUACAUGGUGCAUAAUAAGGCUCAAUACAUG
rnacentral:lncRNA from 10 species